UACAGAGGUGGCAAGCGUUGUUCGGAAUUACUGGGCGUAAAGGGCGCGUAGGCGGCCUUCUAAGUCGGACGUGAAAGCCCCAGGCUUAACCUGGGAACUGCGUCCGAUACUGGGAGGCUUGGAUUCGGGAGAGGGAUGUGGAAUUCCGAGGUGUAGCGGUGAAAUGCGUAGAUAUCUGGAGGAACACCGGUGGCGAAGGCGGCAUCCUGGACCGAGAUCGACGCUGAGGCGCGAAAGCUAGGGGAGCAAACGGG
rnacentral:rRNA from 1 species